rnacentral:rRNA from 1 species
UACAGAGGGCCCGAGCGUUGUUCGGAUUCAUUGGGCGUAAAGGGUGCGUAGGCGGUGGGGUAAGUUGGAUGUGAAAUCUUGGGGCUUAACCUCAAAAUUGCAUUCAAUACUGCUCCGCUCGAGUUCUGUAGAGGAGAUUGGAAUUUACGGUGUAGCAGUGAAAUGCGUAGAUAUCGUGAGGAACGCCAGUGGCGAAAGCGAAUCUCUGGGCAGCAACUGACGCUGAGGCACGAAGGCCAGGGGAGCAAACGGG